GGGUAUCUUAUAGGAGAUUUCUAUGCACCUGAGGUCUUCCUAAGGAUGUGUACAGCAUGCUCAUUUGUCUGGAACCUCUGAAUUCUUCAUCAACAAGACUGACAGAUAACAGUUCUGACCAGCUUGGCGAGUGCUAUGCAAAAGCUUGUGACUUGUGCUGCUGCUGGAACAUGGGAGGGCCUCUUAUCUGAACAAUUUCUAGUUGAGUUUGUAAUCCUUACUGCCUGAAAGGGACAACUGGUCAAGACAAGCUCCCUGAAGCCGGCUUUCACAGGAACACAUUUGAGUCACUGACACUUCAAAAUAUGAACAGACGGAACACCACAGUGUCAGGGUUGGCUGUGUUCAUCUGGGAAAGCCCUGCCUCUACAAACCUGACCUAACCUGACCUAACCAAACAUGAGAGUGGCUGAAUAACCUGCUAAUAAGUACAAAGAACUGUGUUUUUACAAAUACACAUUUACUUGACAAAUGAGCAAAGAUCCAGCGUAACAUCGAAGGAGUGCUUUCCACCAUUGCUGUAGAUAGAGCAGAUAUGUGCACCAUGUGAUAUUUCCCAAUGUAAAUGUUUUCCCAAAAUCGACAGAACUGCAUUCCCCUCCCCCCCCCCCCCCCCCCCCCCCCCCCCCCCCCCCCCCCCCAGUCUCUAUAGGAAGAGGCUGUGGCCUUGCAGUUCUCAUUGCUUAAGUGGGUGGUGUAGGUGAUCCUGCUCUGUUGUGGCUGUGGAGGAUGGAGCUCUGUGGUCAGUUCUUUCCAGUUGCAUUUUUUUGUUCUCUUUCUGGCAGCGCUGUGCUAUUCUGCCUUGUACAUGGCAGUCACUUAACAGUCUCUUUAUCUUCAAGUUAAUUAAGAUCAGGGCUGGCUGAGCACUUUUCAAUUUAAAAUAAAGAGCAAAGGCAAUAUUCUGUUUUCAAAACUAUGUCCCUAAUAUGUCCCUAAACUUCCAAGUUCUUAAUGGAAAAAAUAUGGGGUUUCAAAGACCUUUCCCCCUGUACUUUUUGUUCUUUCUCUGUUCUCUGUCCCUUGUUUCAAGCUUUUUUACUAGGAACAAAACUGGAAAAAAGGGUACAGAGAGAUAGGAAAUAUAAAUUUUUUUUUCAAGUCUCCCCAUGCAAGUACCUGACUUUCAAUCAGUGCAGGUUGGAACCAGCUGCAAAUUCAUUCCCGUGGCCCCAGUACGCCUGCACUGUGCAGCACCUCUGCCCUCUUCUUGAUAUUUUUAGCCCUGCUUUUCUUAGCUAGAUCUCUGCUCUUCCUCUGCAUUAGAGGACAAAGUAGCUUCCUGUGUGGUUUGCCUGUUCUCACUGCCCUUUGCUGACCCCUGGCACUUUUUCCUAGAGGCAGAAGGAUGAAUGUUACUGGUAUUCCAGCUCAUGGCACGACACUGCUAGAAGGCUCUGAUGAUGCUGGGUAUCACAGGAACGCUGAGAACUCUGCUAGCGCUUUUGAGAGGCCUGAUUAUGCAGUAGGUGUCUGUCUUUGUGUCCGUACGCUGCGUUACCACGGGGGAGCUGAGUGGGAGAUGAGUUCUCUCAGCUCUUGGCCAUUAGAACAGCCGGAGUCUGGAUGGCAGCAUGUAUUGCCUGGGGCCGUCCUCCCACUUGGCAUCCCCAGCCUGGCGGGCCUCUGCCGAUCCCUUCUGGGCUGGCUGCGUGUUGUCCUGAUGCAGAGAAGCAUCAGCUGCCUUUGUCUGCCACUGCUGCUAGCAGCUUUUUGCUGCCGGCAGCUCACGCGACAGUGCUGUUUGCGUGUCAGUUAUCGUGGGCCUGGGAAGCACAGGGAGGGCAUCCCAGGGCCGAGCCCUGUGUGGAUGAUACCAGAAGGCCGGCAGCCAGGCUUCUCGUUCUCCUCCUUCCUGCGGGCUGUACCCAGCAGAACUCGCCCAACUCCUUUCCAUUCCUGAACCUCAGCUCUCCACUUCCUUACUUUUUUCUCUCUUAAAACUAUUACUAAAUUCUGAAACUUCCAGAGGUGAUUCGAUUAAAUGUAGAAACAGUGUCACAGGUCCUGCAUCUGUCUGAAGAAAAGUGAGAACAGGCUGCUGAUUAUGAGGGAAGUCACAAUUACUUCCCCAAAGCGAUGGCUCUUUUUCAGUCCUCUUCUCAUACUGUGCAUAGUUGUAGAGCACCAGGGCCUUACCAAUGUUCUGUCCUGAUCUAACAAGAGAAAUGAAGUAGUUGGAGGCUUUGCUUGUGAUUUGUCAAGUGAAGAAUGUUUUGAAAGGGAAGCUGCAUCCAUCCUGGCUUAGUCUGAUCUCUGGGCCGUUCCUCUGGUGAAGAGGAGGAGCUGACUUCAGUGUGCUUGGAAAACAUCACUCAUGGCAAAUGGAACAUGUGAGGAUGAGAUGAAAUCUGAAAGAUAAUAUUUAAGCCUCUUUGCUUUGGAUAGGUGGAUGAGGUUUUGUUUUCUUCAAAGAUCUUCAAGAUCAACAAAACUGUGUAAGACUGUAAGACAGGCAAAAAAGAGGUGCUUGGCAUGGUGCGACGUAGGUGAAUGGCCUGAGGUGUCUGAAGCAUUUGUAUCUGGUACAGGAUGGCUGUUCUUUCAGUAAUGCUUGGAUCGUCCACGGGAUUCUUCUGCAAAGUUUAGGGACAGCAAGAUGUGUUUGUCUCUGUGGUCUGAAAUGUUUGUCUGGGCAGCAUGGAGGGAAGACAAAGCCAUCAGACUCACUGGGAGCUUCCCACAGAGCUGCCGCUCGGGCUCGUUCCAGGACAAGAGGCUACAAAUGCUGUGGGUUGUGCUGCUGUCUUUGGGUCUUUCAGUGCUUGUUUUUAAAUCUGACAUGGAAUUCAGAGCAUAUACUUAAAACAGGAACUGUUCUCUGUGUGACAAAGUACACAGAACUUUGCAAGAAUGCAA